rnacentral:rRNA from 1 species
UACGAAGGGGGCUAGCGUUGCUCGGAAUUACUGGGCGUAAAGCGCACGUAGGCGGAUUGUUAAGUCGGGGGUGAAAUCCUGGAGCUCAACUCCAGAACUGCCUUCGAUACUGGCGAUCUCGAGUUCGGGAGAGGUGAGUGGAACUGUGAGUGUAGAGGUGAAAUUCGUAGAUAUUCGGAGGAACACCAGUGGCGAAGGCGGCUCACUGGUCCAUUACUGACGCUGAGGUGCGAAAGCGUGGGGAGCAAACAGG